CUCGUGAUCUGUGAGGCUGCUGGCAUGUGACUCCAGCUUCGGCUCUGGUGAGCUGCCUUCCUGAGCCGGUUUGUUCACGUUGUUGGUUGACAGCUUCUUUUUGGUAUUUUUUUUCUUCUUGCCUUUUUGUUCCUCCUGCUGUGACAACUUGGCGGCUGCAGCGGCGAGGCCGGUUUCGAUGGAGGCGACCCUCGUUCCCUCUCGCACCGGUCUGUCUUG
rnacentral:lncRNA from 1 species